rnacentral:piRNA from 1 species
UCCUUCUCGGAUUAAAUGGCAAUAGUGUGG